AUUGAACGCUGGCGGCAGGCCUAACACAUGCAAGUCGAGCGGAGCGGCGGACGGGUGAGUAAUGCCUAGGAAUCUGCCUGGUAGUGGGGGAUAACGUCCGGAAACGGGCGCUAAUACCGCAUACUAUCAGAUGAGCCUAGGUCGGAUUAGCUAGUUGGUGGGGUAAAGGCCUACCAAGGCGACGAUCCGUAACUGGUCUGAGAGGAUGAUCAGUCACACUGGAACUGAGACACGGUCCAGACUCCUACGGGAGGCAGCAGUGGGGGAUAUUGCACAAUGGGCGAAAGCCUGAUGCAGCGACGCCGCGUGGGGGAUGAAGGCUUUCGGGUUGUAAACCUCUUUCGCUAUCGAACGGGUAGGUGGAGAAGAAGCGCCGGCUAACUACGUGCCAGCAGCCGCGGUAAUAC
rnacentral:rRNA from 1 species